GACGAACGCUGGCGGCGUGCUUAACACAUGCAAGUCGAACGGUAAGGCUCCAGCUUGCUGGGGUACACGAGUGGCGAACGGGUGAGUAACACGUGGGCGACCUGCCCUGCACUUCGGGAUAAGCCUGGGAAACUGGGUCUAAUACCGGAUAGGACCGCACCGUGAGGGUGUGGUGGAAAGUUUUUUCGGUGUGGGAUGGGCCCGCGGCCUAUCAGCUUGUUGGUGGGGUAAUGGCCUACCAAGGCGGCGACGGGUAGCCGGCCUGAGAGGGUGGACGGCCACAUUGGGACUGAGACACGGCCCAGACUCCUACGGGAGGCAGCAGUGGGGAAUAUUGCACAAUGGGCGGAAGCCUGAUGCAGCGACGCCGCGUGGGGGAUGACGGCCUUCGGGUUGUAAACUCCUUUCACCAUCGACGAAGGGUUUCUGACGGUAGAUGGAGAAGAAGCACCG
rnacentral:rRNA from 1 species